rnacentral:rRNA from 1 species
UACGUAGGGUGCGAGCGUUACUCGGAAUUACUGGGCGUAAAGCGUGCGCGGGCGGUUUUGUAAGUCAGAUGUGAAAUCCCCGGGCUUAACCUGGGAACUGCGUUUGAAACUACAAGGCUAGAGUGUGGCAGAGGGGGGUGGAAUUCCACGUGUAGCAGUGAAAUGCGUAGAGAUGUGGAGGAACACCGAUGGCGAAGGCAGCCCCCUGGGUUAACACUGACGCUCAGGCACGAAAGCGUGGGGAGCAAACAGG